CCUACGGGAGGCAGCAGUGGGGAAUAUUGCACAAUGGGGGGAACCCUGAUGCAGCAAUGCCGCGUGGGUGAAGAAGUACUCCGGUAUGUAAAGCCCUGUCAGCAGGGAAGAAAAUGACGGUACCUGACUAAGAAGCCCCGGCUAACUACGUGCCAGCAGCCGCGGUAAUACGUAGGGGGCGAGCGUUAUCCGGAUUUACUGGGUGUAAAGGGAGCGCAGGCGGCGUGGCAAGUCAGAUGUGAAAACCCGGGGCCCAACCCCGGGACUGCAUUUGAAACUGCCAUGCUGGAGUGCCGGAGAGGCAA
rnacentral:rRNA from 1 species